rnacentral:rRNA from 1 species
UGGGGAAUCUUGGACAAUGGGCGCAAGCCUGAUCCAGCCAUGCCGCGUGGAUGAUGAAGGCCUUAGGGUUGUAAAAUCCUUUCGCCGAGGACGAUAAUGACGGUACUCGGAGAAGAAGCUCCGGCUAACUUCGUGCCAGCAGCCGCGGUAAUACGAAGGGGGCUAGCGUUGUUCGGAUUUACUGGGCGUAAAGCGCAUGUAGGCGGGCCGUUAAGUUAGGGGUGAAAUCCCGAGGCUCAACCUCGGAACUGCCUCUAAAACUGGCGGCCUGGACCUAAGUAGAGGCAAGUGGAAUUGCGAGUGUAGAGGUGAAAUUCGUAGAUAUUCGCAGGAACACCAGUGGCGAAGGCGACUUGCUGGACUUAUGGUGACGCUGAGAUGCGAAAGCGUGGGGAGCAAACAGGAUUAGAUACCCCGGUAGUCCCUGAGCGGGCUGGCAAGGCGCAU